UUCCCUACCUUCUGUUGUUCUCAAGUUCAAACUUAGAAUUCAACUUGGGAGCAAGUGGGUUUUGUGGUCUGUUUAAUUAAAAUUCUAGAACACAGAGUUCUCAGCAGAGGCCUUGCUCUGGAAAGCAUCCUGGGGGCUGAACCUUAUGUGAGGCAUGGGAACCCUGGCGGCAAGUUUUUCCCUGUACUGUAGGCUGGCUUUUAGGAAUGAGGCUCCUGGAGAGGAACUUGAUUAGCCUCAUUGCUCCUCUUGCCACACUUGGAGUGGCCAGAUCCUAUUCUUUCGCAGCACAGGGAAACCAGUGCAAAAACUAAUCAGGGGAAAGAAAAAGACUCACAACACCACUAGAAAAGGAGGAAAACUUCUUUUCCAGGUGGGCAAAUCUUACCUGAAGGAGACUGUGAGCUCCACAGCAGGUAGCCCUGGGCCCUGUGGUCUGCACUUCACCAGCACCUAAUCCAUGCCUCAUAUUUAGCACAAAAUAUCCCAGAAGGAAUCAUUUAUUGUGUAGUUACUGCGUACAG